rnacentral:rRNA from 1 species
GAUGAACGCUGGCGGCGUGCCUAAUACAUGCAAGUCGAGCGAACGGACGAGAAGCUUGCUUCUCUGAUGUUAGCGGCGGACGGGUGAGUAACACGUGGAUAACCUACCUAUAAGACUGGGAUAACUUCGGGAAACCGGAGCUAAUACCGGAUGAUAUUUUGAACCGCAUGGUUCAAAAGUGAAAGACGGUCUUGCUGUCACUUAUAGAUGGAUCCGCGCUGCAUUAGCUAGUUGGUAAGGUAACGGCUUACCAAGGCAACGAUGCAUAGCCGACCUGAGAGGGUGAUCGGCCACACUGGAACUGAGACACGGCCCAGACUCCUACGGGAGGCAGCAGUAGGGAAUCUUCCGCAAUGGGCGAAAGCCUGACGGAGCAACGCCGCGUGAGCGAUGAAGGUCUUCGGAUCGUAAAACUCUGUUAUUAGGGAAGAACAUAUGUGUAAGUAACUGUGCACAUCUUGACGGUACCUAAUCAGAAAGCCACGGCUAACUACGUG